rnacentral:rRNA from 1 species
GAUGAACGCUGGCGGCGUGCCUAAUACAUGCAAGUCGAGCGAACAGAUGAGGAGCUUGCUCCUCUGACGUUAGCGGCGGACGGGUGGGUAACACGUGGAUAACCUACCUAUAAGAAUGGGAUGACUUCGGGAAACCGGAGCUAAUACCGGAUAAUAUAUUGAACCGCAUGGGUCAAUAGUGAAAGACGGUUUUGCUGUCACUUAUAGAUGGAUCCUAGCCUCCUUAGCUGAUUGGUAAGGUAAGGGCUUACCAAGGGGACGAUGCGUAGCCGACCUAAGAGGGGGAUCGGCCACACUGGAACUGAGACACGGUCCAGACUCCUACGGGAGGCAGCAGUAGGGAAUCUUCCGCAAUGGGCGAAAGCCUGACGCAGCAACGCCGCGUGAGUGAUGAAGGUCUUCGGAUCGUAAAACUCUGUUAUUAGGGAAGAACAACUUUGUAAGUAACUAUGCACGUCUUGACGGUACCUAAUCAGAAAGCCACGGCUAACUACGUG